CAGCAGCCGCGGUAAUACGUAGGUGGCAAGCGUUGUCCGGAAUUAUUGGGCGUAAAGGGCUCGCAGGCGGUUUCUUAAGUCUGAUGUGAAAGCCCCCGGCUCAACCGGGGGGGGUCAUUGGAAACUGGGAAACUUGAGUGCAGAAGAGGAGAGAGGAAUUCCACGUGUAGCGGUGAAAUGCGUAGAGACGUGGAGGAACACCAGUGGCGAAGGCGACUCUCUGGUCCGUAACUGACGCUGAUGCACGAAAGCUAGGGGAGCAAACAGGAUUAGAGACCCCCGUAGUCCCUGUCUCUUAUAC
rnacentral:rRNA from 1 species